GGUCCAAAUAAAAGAGCAAGAAUAAAGCAGGAUGAAACGCACAGAACAACCCAAAGAAACCAAAUAAACACAGAACCCAGAUGAAACGCCUCUCUAGAACCACCUUCAACCUGCUGCAUGAAGCUCAAAGUCCGAAAACCAGAAAGGUAACAACUUUGCUAACCUUCAUGAAGUACCCGAUAAACAAUCUCCACGCCACAAAGCUAUCUAUUGCCAGGCAAAACCAUAGACACCCCUUUGUUCCAAUCAACUGCUGCUGCCUGCUCCACCGUUACUGGCGCUUCCUCAACCCAAUACCUCGGCUCCAGAAACAUGCACCCCUUUUUUGCAAGAGCAUGCGCCGCCAUAUUCGCCUCCCUUCUUGCAAACCGAAAGGGAAUCGCCUUCAACCCGAUCAAUUCAUUAACGGGCUUAGCUCAUUUCUGACCUAGCUUAACCAACCCGAUCGAUCCAGCAGAUAUCCCUGAAUGAAGCCGAUCAAUUCAUUAACGAAUCAUUUAACCCUUUCAUGCACCAGUCUAUUACACAUAUACCAGGUUGCCCAAUAAGAAAUGACCAAUAAUUUCCUAUCUUUAUCCUGCAUAUUCAAGACAAUUUCUACUAAUUAACCAUUGUUUGUAAUAUGAACAUUGCACGUCUGGAGUCACCAUAAUCUUUAAAUGACGUCAUGUUUGUUUCAAGGUGUGGCACGAUCGGACAUGAUGAUCAACGGUUUCUUCCCCUUCCUUGCAUAGCGGACAGAUCCCCUCCACCUGUAAUUUGCGUCGGGAUAGGUUCUCCCUUGUACGCAAAAAAUUAUUAAAUAAUUUCCGAAUGUAAAAUUUUAUUUUAGCUGGGAUUUGCAACGCCCACAUUUUUGUAAGGAAAGAUGUAAUCAUGCCUGUUGUAUAUCGGAGUGGAUCUCCAUUGGCUUGUAAUUCUUCCUCAACAAGCAGUUUGUAACCACUCUUAAUCAUGUAAUCACUCGAACCAUCAUGACGCCAUACAAUCA